rnacentral:lncRNA from 1 species
CACCAGAAGUCAGAAGAUGAAGUCGAUUGUAAUAAGUGUCCUGGCCUUGGGCAUUCUUGCAGCUAUUAUUUCCUGUUCACCAGUGCUUAUGGAAAAUUCUGGAGAAGUGAUUUGCAGCAGAGAUGGUUGUAUAUUUCCUGAGAAAGAUUACGGGCCCUCUGUAAGGCCUUACACUCCGACGCUAAAACCAAGAGUACGGACCAUAAUUGUACCUCCUCUGUGGGUCAACUCAACUUGGAUGGAAAUGAUUUCCGGAUGAACGCCACAAUAUCAAAGUGUUGCAAUGUCCGUGAAGAAUACUUACAAUAAUAACGAAGAAGACAACAUGAUGUGAGAGUGAUAGAACCAUUACCAUUAGGGUAAGGAUGGAUAAGAUGGGUCACCUAAGGAAAAAAUUCCAUGAACAAAUCAAGUUGACUUUUUUUUCUUCUAAUGGUGUUCAAUAAAUCGUUAUUAAAAAGUA